rnacentral:rRNA from 1 species
AUUGAACGCUGGCGGCAUGCCUUACACAUGCAAGUCGAACGGUAACGCGGGGCAACCUGGCGACGAGUGGCGAACGGGUGAGUAAUGCAUCGGAACGUGCCUGGUAGUGGGGGAUAACUGCUCGAAAGAGCAGCUAAUACCGCAUACGACCUGAGGGUGAAAGGGGGGGAUCGCAAGACCUCUCGCUAUCAGAGCGGCCGAUGUCGGAUUAGCUAGUUGGUGGGGUAAAGGCCCACCAAGGCAACGAUCCGUAGCUGGUCUGAGAGGACGACCAGCCACACUGGGACUGAGACACGGCCCAGACUCCUACGGGAGGCAGCAGUGGGGAAUUUUGGACAAUGGACGCAAGUCUGAUCCAGCCAUGCCGCGUGCGGGAAGAAGGCCUUCGGGUUGUAAACCGCUUUUGUCAGGGAAGAAAUCUUCUGGGCUAAUACCCCGGGAGGAUGACGGUACCUGAAGAAUAAGCACCGGCUAACUACGUGCCAGCCGCCGCCGUAAGAC